rfam:Dipodomys ordii contig_11380, whole genome shotgun sequence.
GGGAAUGUGGCUUAGUGGUAGAGCGCUUGCCUUGCAUGCAUGAAGCCCUGGGUUAGGUUUCUCAGUACCA